rnacentral:lncRNA from 1 species
UGUUUGAGACAUCAUUAGGAUACGGGAACAGAAAAUUUACCAGAAGAAAGUAAUAAAAUCCAAGCACCUCGUCAGAAUAUAUAACAUAUACAACCACAUCAAUAUGGAGAAAUAAAGGUGAUCAAGAAAGAAGCAUCAGUCGUAACUUCACUUCAGAACAAGUACUCGAAACGAUACAUGACGUAUAGAACUAUAGCGUUCAUCUGAAAAUGGGGUUUGCCUCAUAGCCAAAAUGUCACCACUCCAAUGUAUGUUUAAUGAACUGAAUGGUUAGAAAUUAGAAUUUCCAGAAAAUUGGUGUAAAGGAGAGUUCUUAAACAUACUUGGUUUGCCUGUUUUCACUAUUGAAAAUGCAAAAACAGUUCUCUUCUGAUUUGUGUAAUUUUCCCCCUUGAUAAUAAUCUUGACUGCAGGAACCAUUUACUUUCACAUGCUGAGAAUCAAACUCAGAAAAGAAACAAUGAAAGAGGAAUAAGCAGAUAUCGUGCCUUCUAACCAAUACUAGAAUGGUUAGUAUUGUUGCACUCUCUUCUAAUUCUGGGCUUAGCGUCAAUAACGAGAGGCUUAGGCUGGUGGCAAAAACUGAGAGCCAGAAGAAAAAUAAACGCUAAAACAGUAAUAUGAUGGACAAAAGCCCACACUAAAAAUUAUAAUCCUACUCAUUUGAUGAACUUGUAAUACAUACAUCAAGACAAGUAUUCUUGGAACAAAAUACUAGACAUUCAGAGUACAAAAAUUAGGAGGAUAGAACUCAUCUAAAAUAAACAUCAAAAGGAAUACCACAGAAGUAAGGAUUAAAGUAUGAAAUUGUAAGGACACAAAAAUGUAAAGACUAAUCGCUAAAUGUGGAUGUUAAUUAAUCAGGCAUUGAAGAAGACGAAGAAGCCAGGGAAACAGAAUUCCAAAUUUGGACAGCAGCAUUCCAAAUUCCGGCACACGCCACGCCAAUGCCGACAGCCUGCGGGUAUCCUGGUUUGGAAUCCAGUUUCAUUUCCAGUUGAAGCAGCCGGGAGUAGAUGACGUCGAGCUUUUUAGAGGUAAUAUCUGAAUCAGAGUCACCUUUUUUCUGGCUUCGAGUGGUGCUGAUCAUUGUGAAAACAGCGUUCUGCAAAUCUUGAAUGACUUUGAAAGAGGCUUCUUGAGUGUCCAUACCCUGCUUCUCGUAAUGCGCCACCAGCUCACUCGGGCUCGGUAGUCUCCUCCUGUUCUUCUUCUUCUUUCCGGCAUCAUCCUCCUUUUCGGCUUGUGAUUGGCUCGGAAGCGGCGGCGGCUCUCUCCUGUCUACAAGCGAAACCGAGAAAGUGAAGAAAGAAAAUCUGUUUUGGGAGCGACAGAAGCCCUACAAUUUUCAGUCCUCGAGAUUGGAUAAUGUCGUUAGAUCGGCUAAAAAACGCAAAAGAGCGAUUUUUGGUUUAAUGGUUAAUGCGAUUUUGCCCUUGAC